AUAGGACUACUGAAACACAAGGUGAAGAGAACUAUUAGGCAAUUGAGUGCAUUCCCUGCAGGGCUGCUCCCACUUCUAUCUGACUUGGGUCUAGAUGACUCAAGUGAUUCCCGAGGGGAAAAUAAUCUAUGUGGAACAGCUGUCAUGAGCAGGCCUUCUGUGGCUCUUCAGCCUCAAUUUCAGCCUGCUACUUCCCGUGACAUCAUUCAGUGAUUCCUCCCUUUAAGGGGACAGUUUUCUCUUGUAUUACAGGUGACUGCUUGAAGGUGGCUAGAUGAGACCAUACUGCCACCACUCUUUAUUUGGAGGCCUGUAACCUGUCUUGAGUGUGUCGCAGGAAGACUCAGUUACAGUGUUCCCUGAAUAUGUAGCUUUCCAUUACAAUAGUAUGCAAGCCAAGAUGAAACCACCUCUGUUUGGGUUUCAGCAGCUGUCUGCCUACGGAAGGCUCCAGAGUCCCUGACGCAUAUUUAUAUCUCCACUUCACUGAAGUCACAAGGAACAAACACGUUCACAGGAAGCACCUGGCACACAGUAACUAUUAUUA
rnacentral:antisense_RNA from 1 species